rnacentral:lncRNA from 1 species
UGAACUUAUUGAACUGAAUCAAAUUGAAAUGUGUCGAUAGGAAAUAGGAUGUAAGAAGCAUGUAUCUUGCAAACACAAAGUACAGAUAAUUUAUCUAAAAUUGAUGUAGAAAUAAGCCUCAAGUUCUCUACAUUGAGGUGAUAGAAUACUAAUGUAAGCACAGUAGCCAGAGGGCUACUCCCAUGAAAACAGAAACUUUGUGUCAUGUAUAUUGAUUCACAUGGAAUGCUCUGCUACUCUGAUUCUUGCAACUCUAGGCUGUUAUAAAAACAGACCAUCAGAAUAUGUUUUUCAAGGAAAAGUGCUGCAGAGACUGGGGUCUUUUUUCUUAAAUGUCAUUGAAUGAGCAAUAGCUGGAGCAGUUGUCAAGGGCUGGCUUCCUGCAUCACAAGGGAAGGGUUUGGAAGAGCAGACUGGAUCACAUCCCAGGAGACAUGGGUAUCUGUGACAGAAGGAAGAAAGAAAACAAUGGAAUGGAGAAGAGAUCUUACCGCAGACUGGAGGAAGUGAAGGAAAGACAGAGAUGGAACAUGUGUGGUAUGGAAGCAAAAGUCAGUGACUGCUUGAAAAGAAGAGGGGGGCAAGCAAGACGGGGCAGAGGGAUGGGGAGGUGCUGAGAGGAGUAACUAAGAACAAAGCUGUCAUGAUGAACCCCUCGGGUUUGCCUGCUCACUUUAAAUUCUGGAAGACAACUUCCUCUCAUUUGUGAACUUAAAAACUAUACUCUAUUUCAGCUCUUUUGGGGUUGAAAUAUGAAUAAUGUGCAGCUUUUCUAAAUGUUGUCUUUGUCAUAAUCAGUUUUUGCUAGGGAUUUUGUUCCCUUUUAGGUCCCAGGUGUAU